rnacentral:tRNA from 1 species
GGUCGUGGCUCAGUGGUAGAACACUUGCCUGGCAUGUGUGAGACACUGGGUUCAAUCCUCAGCACCA